AUCUGUAAAAUGAGCCGGAGAAGGAAAUGGCAAACUACUAUCAUAUCUUUGCCAAGAAAAGCUCAAAUGGGAAUUACAAAGAGGUGGAUACUCCUGAACAACAUUGAUUGGGUUUAUUGAAUUUUUAAAUUUUUUUCCCAAGGCAAGGGGCAAAGUAUAUUAUAAUUGUAAUGCUCACUAAAGCAGGCUGAGUUCUCAAAGAAUUUUGCAAAUAACAAGGGGGUAAUUCAUUUUUCUUUAAUUAAAAAAACACUUUAUUAUAAGGAAUAGCACUCUGAAAGGGGAUUGAGGAAAGGGAUUUAUUUUAAAAUAAAGGAUAUCAAUAAAAUCUAUUUUCUUUUUAAAAAGAUGCAGGCAAGAGAUGGAAUGCAAGAGUUGGGGAUUAGCAAACAGAUCUAUUUGCUUGCAGUGUAGAGUCACACGAAGUGUUGGAAAGAAAACUGGAGCCAGCUUGUGAAGGUCUUUAAAUUCCAAACUGAGAAGGAGACGAUGGAGAACCAGUCCCCAAGAUUCUGGAGCUGAGGGGCUUUCUGGAAACUGAGGGAUCUGAGUGGGUAGCCCCAGAGGGCAGAGCUGGGAGCCUGGGAUUUGGAGCAUUCUGGGAUAAGCAUGGAUUUCCUGACAAUGCAAGCUGCCCCUAAAUAGAAUGGCCUACCUCAACUGGGUGGCUGGAGAAUGACCCUGUCCUCCCGCUCUGGAAGCUGAAGCAAGGGAUGACCCCAAGGAAACAAAUAUGAAGGUUCUGGGGGUCAGGGAGAAGACCGGGGCUGAAGGUUCCGACUUAGUUGCUUCUUCUGAAAGAUUGAUUGUGAAAGCUACUGAGCUCAGAGUUUGAGGCAGAGACAGACCCUGAAGCACAUGGAGCUCAUUGGGCCUGGAGUCGGAAAGAUCUGACUUCAGUUCCAGCCUCAGACCCUGAGCUAGCUGGAUGACUGGGCAAGUACCAAAUGUCCCAUGUAUGAGAAACAACUGAGAUGGUAUCUUUGGCCCUGAGCUUGGUGCUGAACACAGACAGAUUCCCUUCCACCAAAGACAUCUGUGCCACAGGGUCCAUUGAGAUGAAAUCCCCCUUUCCAUUUGCGAUGCUGGAGAAGUCCCAGCGAGAAGAUUAACAGCAGUCAAUACUUAAAGAAAUUAACUCUGACUCUUUCCAAAGGACAAAAGCUGAACUGAAGCUUAACUAGUUUGGCCACAUAAUGAGAAGCCCCCAGGACUCCCUGGUAAAGACAGAUCCUGGUAAAGAUUAAAGGCAGAAAAGACAAGGGGAUGGUAGAGGAUGAGAUGGAGAGUGUCACGGAAGCAAGAACAUGAGCUUGGAAAGACUUCAGGAGACGGUGGAGGACGCUGGUCCGGUGCGCUGUGACCCAUGAGAUCACAGUCAGUGGCUGCACCAACAUGGAUGUCGAAGCCCUUGACCAUGACAAGGUUGGGGCUGGAGAGGAAGGAGGACUGAGCCCUUUGGGAAGGGAGGGCUUGCUGGCCAGAGCAGCCAGGACUUCAGCGCCUUCUGGGGGAAGCCUGUGUGUGAGCACAGGAAAUGGAAGGAGUGGGAAAUGAAAUAGUCUCACAGAAGCGGGUCCUUUAUUAAGCUAGAAUGGGCAUCCCAUGAAGAAUUCACUGGCCCAUAUGAAAGUGACCUUACCUCCUCAAAUUUCCAUUGGUACUUGGGGUCUUUCUUUUGUAACUUACCUCCCCGUCCCUUUAUGAUGGUUACUUAUUUCCUUCCCUUUACCCCAUCAGAUUGUUAGCUCUUGGGAGCGAGGUAUGGGCCAUGUGGAUUUUUAGAGCCCCAAUGCUGAGCUAAUGGAACUCCCGUGUAUCAGAUUCCCAAGACGGGUCAGCACAACUGAGUGGAAAUGACUGGACUGUCAGCCUUUAUGUCUGAGACAUAAGUAGCCUGGCUCCUCUGGGGGGUCAGUGGAUAGCUUCAUCCUCUCUGGGCCUCAGUAGCCUGACUUUCUGAGUUCUGUGUCCAAAGGAGCCUUUCAGAAGUGAUGGGACUGAAUCAGUCUCUGUAUUUUAUCCGCUCGGUCCUAAGAGCCUGGAACACCCAAAGUUCUAAGGUCCUUCCUCACUCUGACAUUUAAUGUUUCUCCGUCCUAAGGUUUGUUUAAGUUCAAUUGAAAUGGGACAACAAAUAUACAGUGCUUUGGGAGCCAUGAGACGCUCGAGAAUGCUGGCUUUGGUACCGGGAUGAUUGUCUAGAGGCGCUUCCAGCUCUGACAUUGGAUCUGUCAUUCUCUCCUCUGAGAGCCCUUCCAGCCCUGCCAUUCGGUGCCUUGUGUGAGAGGCCUGCCUUGUGAGUAAAUAAAGCCAUAGAGACUUAAAGUUUGUUUUCCGUUUCCAUGAGUAAUGGGAUCCUGCCUCUGGGAGGUAUUUUGGGAAAACCAUUUCAGCCAGAGAUCAGUCUGUUAUAGCGUGAAGGUCACAAGCUGCGUUUGUCCUUCCCCAGAGGGAGCGAAGGAGGCUUUCUCACUAUAAAAAUCAGGGAUUAUCUUCUUGGGAAUUCAAGACCACCGGUGUGACAUGGGUCCCUUAAGGAUGGAAGGGCUGCUGGGGUGCUGCUCACUAGCUCCUUGGUCUGUGGAGGUGGAAGGACAUGGGUAGUGAUCAGGAGAGUCUAUGUGCCUUCUCUGUUCGGAUCAUCUGAUCUUUGAUCUCCAGCAAGUCAGAGUCUGUGAUCCUGGGAGUUUUAUUUCAAAAGACCAGAAACAGGCUGGAAAACUGCUAAAUUUUUACUGGACAUCUCAGGGGCCUCUGCUUAUGUGCUGUGCACCAGAGGAGAUGACGGACUCUCUGUACCUUUCUAUCAGUGUUUGAACAGAGGAGUGACUGACCACGCUCCUUCUGUGUUCAAACACCUUCAGUGGCUCCCUAUUUCUCUUACUAUAACAGGUAAAACUCCUCAGCUGGAUUCUCCCCUUCAUGCUUUAGCCACAGUGGCCACGAGCUGUCCCUGCACUGACUUUCCAUCUCCUACACCUUUGUGCAGGCUCUCUCCUCCGUCUUGCCCUCGGCUCCUUUGGGAGCCCAGGCCCAGCUUCUUCCCAUUCCUUGCAGAAGUCUUCCUCCCAUCUCCCGGGUGUCCAUGCUCAUUCCCUUCUCAAAUGGUCUGUAUUUUCUGGAGUUUCUAGUCAAAGUUUCCUUGGGGACAGGGACUGUUGUCCUUGUCUUAUGUCUCCCACUCUGGGCACAGUAAGUGCAAAUUAAGGCUGGCUGGAUUGAAUGGAAUCAUGUGACUCUCCAGAUGGGAUCUUGACAGAACAUCUUUACCAUAACAUCAUUUACAAAAACAUGCUUGUUCAUCAAUGAUUCAACCCGGCGAAUUCAAUCCACAUUUAUUAAUAGCCUACUAUAUACAAGCUCCGUGCUAGUCACUACAGAUAGGAGGAGGAAAAUGAAUUGUUUCCUACCCUCCUGUGAGAAUGUGGCUCCCACACAGAUAAGGACGGAGGUCUACAAGGCAACGUCAAGUGAUUGAGAACGGGAGAGAGUGAGCUGAUCAGCAGGAGAUCAGAAAGGCUCCUGGAAGAAGGAGGGUGCAGGGACUCCUUAAGGAUGCUCUGCUGUGUGCCAGGGCCCUCAGGAGACUGCAGAGCUUAGGAGAAGGGAGCUAGUGAGGUGGAUCAUCACAUCUGGGAAAUUGUGCCGGCACUUAAUGACCCCAGACUUACCCUGGAAACCCAAAGGCAUCUUUCUAAAACCAAUGCUCUUCCAGUUAAACUAGAUGGAGGUGAAUUAGAUGGAGCUUGGAAGAAUCCAAACUGGAGGUUACUCAAAGGACAGUGGAGAGCUGGAGGAGAGGAAAUAGCUUGGGUUGUUGGAACAGGGUGGGGGGGGGGACAAUGGGGGGAUACAAAGAAGAUAAAGAUUAAUUUCCUUUUAGUUUAUUAAUUUGUCCAGAAAAGACUCUGGGCCUGAGGGUGACGCUUGAAUUCUAAGGGAUGGCGUGGCAAUGAAGAGUCCUUCCAGAGGGAUUGCUUGUUGACUGACUGAUGGAUCUGAGCUGAGCUGAAAUCUCAAGGGCUUGGCUUUGAAUUCCCAGUCUACUAAUUAGGAGCGCUGCCAGAGGGGCGCAGUCCCUCCCUCUCUCUAGUCCUGGGCUGCUAGCCGUGGAAGAGUUCCUUUCCACCCCCAGUCCACCCUUUCCCCUUAGCCCGGCCUCCGGGUGAGGGCUUGCUGAGCCCUUUUCAGGGCUGCUCACCCACCUUUGGUGUCCAUCAGCCAUCUGACUCUCUCCAAAACUCCAAGAAGCCACAUCCUGGAAAACCCUCCCUGUGGACAGUCUAAACCUCCUUGAGGGUGACGGGUGCCUCAAAGCUGUGGGGGAGUCAGGCGAGUGUCUGCUCCAGUACCUGAAGACUUUCCCAGUGGAGUCGGUGGUAGAGAAGCUCAGGAAAGGGGCUGCAGCUCCACUUAGAGGAGGAGUGCUCAGACAUCAAAUACAUCAAAAGUCAUCUGCUGGAUCCCAUCCUCUGCAUCCCAUCCAUUGGAUCCCAUCCGCUGGAUCCCAUCCUCUGGAUCCCAUCUGCUAGAUCCCAUCCUCUGGAUCCCAUCCUCAGGAUCCCACCCGCUGUAUGACUUUUGUCUCUCCACUGCACUUGGAUUACUCUGGAAGACCAAGGUUGAUGACCUUGUGCAACUCUGCCCCAUUCAAAUCCAAUUCCUGUGCAAGUCCAGAUGUCACCCAGCUGUUCUUGGUCUUUUGAAAAUGAAGGAUGCUUUUUCUUUCUCAUGGUUUUCCCUUUUUAGCCUGAUUUGUUUUUCACAACAUGAUAAGAAUGGAAACAUGGGGCAGCGAGGUGGCUUCAGAGCACUAGCCCUGAAGUCAGGAGGACCUGAACUGUGUGAUCCUGGAUAAGUC